AGAGUUUGAUCCUGGCUCAGGGCGAACGCUAGCGGCGCGCCUAACACAUGCAAGUCGUGCGGGAAGGGGCUUCGGCCCUAGUACCGCGGCAGACGGGUGAGUAACACGUGAGCAACCUGUCCCCGGGUCUGGGAUAACCACCCGAAAGGGUGGCUAAUACCGGAUAAAGUCACCGGGCGCAAGCUCGGUGAUGAAAGGGGGCCUCUGCAUAGCAAGCUCCUGCCUGGGGAGGGGCUCGCGGCCCAUCAGCUAGUUGGUGGGGUAACGGCCCACCAAGGCUAUGACGGGUAGCCGGCCUGAGAGGGUGGUCGGCCACACGGGCACUGAGACACGGGCCCGACUCCUACGGGAGGCAGCAGUGGGGAAUCUUGGGCAAUGGGCGAAAGCCUGACCCAGCGACGCCGCGUGGGGGAAGAAGGCCUUCGGGUCGUAAACCCCUGUUCUGGGGGAAGAACCCUGAACGGGUUAAUAGCCCGUUCAGGCUGACGGUACCCCAGGAGAAAGCCACGGCUAACUGCGUGCCAGCAGCCGCGGUAAUACGCAGGUGGCGAGCGUUGCCCGGAAUCACUGGGCGUAAAGGGUGCGUAGGCGGCAGGGCAAGUCGCGGGUUAAAGCCCGGGGCUCAACCCCGGAAAGGCCUGCGAUACUGCCUUGCUUGAGGGCCGGAGAGGCUGGCGGAAUUCCCGGUGUAGGGGUGAAAUCCGUAGAUAUCGGGAGGAACACCGGUGGGGAAGCCGGCCAGCUGGACGGUUCCUGACGCUGAGGCACGAAAGCGUGGGGAGCAAACCGGAUUAGAUACCCGGGUAGUCCACGCCGUAAACGAUGGGUGCUAGGUCUGGGGAGGAAACUCUCUGGGCCGAAGCUAACGCGUUAAGCACCCCGCCUGGGGAGUACGGCCGCAAGGCUGAAACUCAAAGGAAUUGACGGGGGCCCGCACAAGCGGUGGAGCACGUGGUUUAAUUCGAUGCAAAGCGAAGAACCUUACCUGGGCUUGACAUGCCAGGGUUGUACCCCGGUGGAAACACUGGGGGAGCGUGGGUUUUUACUCACGCGCUCUGGCACAGGUGCUGCAUGGCUGUCGUCAGCUCGUGCCGUGAGUUUUUGGGUUAAGUCCCGCAACGAGCGCAACCC
rnacentral:rRNA from 1 species